CCCCUUUCCUCGCUCCCGCGUAAAGACUAUAUUCAGGGGGUCGGGAAACCGACUAUGGCGAUAAACGCCUUACGGAAUAAGCGUAGCGGACCCGGGGGCGGUACCCGGCGCCUCCACCAGUUUUUUCUUGGCCGGUCAUCCGCGGCGGAGCCGGCCAUCCCCUGGGGGCGAAAUAGGAUCGACGCGCGUGGUAAAGGUAAGGUUUUUGCCCGGCAUGGUAUCCGCCGUUAUCGGGCCACGCUUACAGAUGCCAACGACAACGAGGCAUUUGCUGUAGCCGCUUAGCGGCAACGGGGUUCGGGGGGCACCUGGCAACAGAAGCCCCCCACU
rnacentral:tmRNA from 1 species